rnacentral:rRNA from 1 species
AUUGAACGCUGGCGGCACGCCUUACACAUGCAAGUCGAACGGCAGCAUAGGAGCUUGCUCCUGAUGGCGAGUGGCGAACGGGUGAGUAAUAUAUCGGAACGUGCCCUAGAGUGGGGGAUAACUAGUCGAAAGACUAGCUAAUACCGCAUACGAUCUACGGAUGAAAGUGGGGGAUCGCAAGACCUCAUGCUCCUGGAGCGGCCGAUAUCUGAUUAGCUAGUUGGUGGGGUAAAAGCCUACCAAGGCAACGAUCAGUAGCUGGUCUGAGAGGACGACCAGCCACACUGGGACUGAGACACGGCCCAGACUCCUACGGGAGGCAGCAGUGGGGAAUUUUGGACAAUGGGGGCAACCCUGAUCCAGCAAUGCCGCGUGAGUGAAGAAGGCCUUCGGGUUGUAAAGCUCUUUUGUCAGGGAAGAAACGGUAGUAGCUAAUAUCUAUUACUAAUGACGGUACCUGAAGAAUAAGCACCGGCUAACUACGUGCCAGCAGCCGCCGUAAUAC